AUUGAACGCUAGCGGCAGGCCUAACACAUGCAAGUCGAACGAGUGGCGGACGGGUGAGUAAUGUCUGGGAAACUGCCCGGUGGCGGGGGGUAACUACUGGAAACGGUAGCUAAUACCGCAUACCAUCGGAGCGGCCCAGAUGGGAUUAGCUAGUAGGUGGGGUAACGGCUCACCAAGGCAACGAUCCCUAGCUGGUAUGAGAGGACGACCAGCCACACUGGAACUGAGACACGGUCCAGACUCCUACGGGAGGCAGCAGUGGGGAAUAUUGCACAAUGGGCGCAAGCCUGAUGCAGCCAUGCCGCGUGUAUGAAGAAGGCCUUCGGGUUGUAAAGUACUUUUAGCGAGGAGGCGUUACUCGCAGAAGAAGCACCGGCUAACUCCGUGCCAGCCGCCGCGGUAAUAC
rnacentral:rRNA from 1 species